ACAACAAAGAUGAUCAUCUUCCUGAUCCUGUCCGUUCGCAGCCGUCUAGCUGCAUGUCUGCAUUUAAAGCACGAAGAGAUCAUUUCUCAUUAAAAUGCAGGAGAAAACUAAGUUUUUCUGUAGAAAUGCAUUUUUAUUUCACUCUCUGUGUUCAUACAAAAUGAUUGAGAGACUUGCUGUCACAUUUGAACGUUUAUCAGAAGAGUUAUUGAAGCAGGAAGUGUGAAUCUGUGAAGGUCUUUUUAACUUGACCAAGUUCUCCGAAUCCAGCACUCUGAUUGGUUGACUCCGCCUCCUCUUACCCUCCUUCCCCCCCUAGUCCCAUUAUCGGACACAGAUCACUUUUGACCCAAGUUUCUCGCAAGGAAUGUGUCAGAAGUCAGAGCGCAGUUGUAGCGCACCUGUGAUUUGCGGCAGCAGAUUGGAGCCCACGCAGAAGCACAUUUGAGCAGUUGGAAUCACAGAUUUGAAGUUGUAACUCUAAAUGAACACAUGCAAAUGGAAAUUUGUCAGUUCACAGCAGAAGAUUUUUACACACAGAUGCAGAUUUUUGAUGCACAAGUAUUCAGAUUCUAUAUUACAAGUUCUCUAAUCAAAUCUACAAGUGCGUUCUUUUUGACACAUUUUUACCCUCAUACAAACGUCAACACUUUCCAUUCAACGACCGACAAGAAGAGCAUUUCAAAUAGAGAAGGUGUGGAGAAAAGACAGACGUGCAAUGUAGCCAGUUCUCUGAGCGAGUCCUCAUGAGAGACAUGCUACAUGUGUCAAGCAGGACAGACGUGGGAUUAAAGGGGAGGAGGAGCAGAACUGAAGAUCAAAGUUAGAAGAUGCAGAAAAACAGGAGAAAAUGAACCACCUGGAAGAUCUACCUGGAAGAACAUCCACCUAGAAGAACAUCCAUCUGGAAGAACAUCCACCUGGAAGAACAUCCACCUAGAAGAACAUCCACCUGGAAGAACAUCCACCUGGAAGAACACCCACCUGGAAGCAUUUGUUCCAAUCCAAUGGCUGACCCCCCCCCCCCCCCCCACACACACACACACAGAAUGGAACCA
rnacentral:lncRNA from 1 species